CAGUAGCCGCGGGAAAACGUAGGGUGCGAGCGUUAAUCGGAAUUACUGGGCGUAAAGCGUGCGCAGGCGGUCGUGUAAGACAGGUGUGAAGUCCCCGGGCUUAACCUGGGAACUGCGCUUGUGACUGCACAGCUAGAGUAUGGCAGAGGGGGGUGGAAAUCCACGUGUAGCAGUGAAAUGCGUAGAGAUGUGGAUGAACACCGAUGGCGAAGGCAGCCCCCUGGACCAAUACUGGCGCUCAUGCACGAAAGCGUGGGGAGCAAACAGGAUUAGAUACCCCCGUAGUCCCUGUCUCUUAUAC
rnacentral:rRNA from 1 species